ACUUCUGCAUCCUAUGUCAAAAAUGAAACCAACCCAGAAUUAUAUGAACAUUUUUGGUUGUUAGAAAGAUUUAUAAUGGAAAAUAAGCCCUUAAUUCUCAACUCACAGAUUAUAUAAGAUCCCUUCUAAAAUAUUUGUCAUUCCAGCCUUGAAAUAUGACAAAAAGAAUAUGUGUAUAAUACUUAGGGUUAGUUCAGUUUCUUUUCAUCUCUUUCUCCUUUUUAAAAUAACUUUAUUUUGUUUAUUUAUUUUUUCAUGUGGUUCUGAGGAUCAAACCCAGUGCCUCACAAAUGCUAGGUGAGUAUUCUACCACUGAGCCACAACACCAGCCCUCUUCUUUUUUAUUGGUUCACUAAAAUCUAUACUCCUUAGUCCUCUUCUCCAUUUUCCCCUCACUUCUAAAGUAGUUCCAUUAACUUCAGCAUGACAGGUCACAAGUUACCAUAAGUCUGAAUAGCAAAAGCCUUUGAGCUUUUUACUAUCAGCUGAAUAAGUCUGUGACAAAGUAUGAAUGGUAAAAUUUACCAAGGUACUGUGUGAUUUUUAACCUUGAAAACAACAUUUUCACUCUUUAUUACAGACAUAUCUUCAAACUGACCUUAUUACAUACUGAGAUACUUAGAUUAUUUCUAAGUUUUUCUAUUUUAGUGACUUUAUGCUGUGUAUAGACGUUAACCACAGGUAAAGAUGGAGGUCACUGUGGACCAAGAGAAAUGGGAAAAGAACACUCACCGCCUUGACCAUAAUUGCGUUGGCCAUGUUUGCAUUUCCGACUUCCUUAGCAUACUUCCUCAUGGCCUUUCUCCUGGCUCCCAUUAUGACUGCUGGGUUCACUCCAGUCUUUACAGAAGAGCAACAUAUAGAAAUCACUUUUAGGCUCCCAGAGACAUACCACAUAUUAUCCAUCUUCCAAUCUCCCCCAUUUAACCCAUUUCUGUGCUUGAUGACCACCCCAAAUUCUUAUUCUACUUUUCCCUCAGAUGUCCUGAGCUACUCCCUAAGAAAACAUUAGUAGCCUUUCUUAGUCUUUAUUCAAGAUAACUAGAAGCUUUGUGUGUUGAUGGCCAGUGUAGGGUUGAUUUUCACUCAUACCAAAGGAAUUCACCUGAUCCCCAAAGUAGGAAAUCUAAGACUUCUAUUUUCACUUUCUUUUCUUAAAUGUUUUUCAAAAACAGAACAUAUGCAUAUGAUAAGAGACAAGGAAUGGUAGUAAUGGUUGUACAACAUGAGAAAGUAUUUAAUGUCACCCACUGGAUCGUACACUUUAAAAUACUUAGAUUUUAUCUUAUGUAUAUUUUACCACAGUUUAAAAGAGAGGGGAGAUAAAGGGGAAAAUAGUCUAAUAGUGUAUACUGAGACAUUUAAGUGACCCUCCCAUUCCUGCCAAUUCACCCAUCCCCUCCCCAGAAAGGAUCACUCUGAAUCUCAUGGGACUCACCUUUCUUUUUAAUGCGUUGCUAUAUAAGUCACUAUUUGCAUAGUAAAUGGGGGCAUUUAUUUGGAAUAUUUUAAUUCCAGGAAUUUCUUUCACCUGAGAAAUAAAAUAUUAGUGAAUUUAACACUUUGAUAUAUUUCAUAAUCAAAACUGCAAGUUUCUGCCUCCUUCAAUGUAAAAAUGAAUACAGAAGCUGGGAAUGGCCCUCUUAGUGUGUUGGGAUAAAAUGAUGUCACUAUAUCUACUCAGGCUUUGUAAGGAAGAAUCUUGAGAAUAAAAAGUUUUUUAAAAAUAUAUUUAUUAUUGCAUUAUAGUUACACAUAAUAGUGGGGUUCAUUUUGACACAUCCAUAAAUGCAUAUAAUUUGCUCCCUUUCAAUCCUUGGUACUUCCCUUUCCUUCUCUUUCUUUUAUGUAUAACUAUAAUGCACCAAUUUAAAAAAACAAUAAAUAAAUGGAAGAAAAAAUUUUUUGAGCCAGUCUCUAUGUUGCCCAGGCUAGUCUUGAACUCCUGGGCUCAAGUGAGCCCCUGCCUUAGCCUCCUGAGUAUCUGAGACCACAGGCACAUGCUUCCAAACCUAUCUUGAAAGUCUCUAAAAAUGUACAUAUUCCCAUUUCUCUAACAAUCUGUCUUUGUUUCAUUUUUACCAUUAAACACAAAGAAGAUGGAAAAGAUGGAACUGAUAAUCAUUCAAAAAAAGAGAAAAGAAAGUGGAUAGGAGGGGAGCUGCAGUAAGAUGGGGAGAAGUAGGCUAACAAAGCAAACAGAGGUUGGCACUGGUGUGACCCACAGACUGCAGGAAGGAGCCAGUGUGGACACAGGCAACACAGAGGGACCUUUUUACUGAAAAGCCUAGAUGCAGAAGGAGGAAGUCUACAUGCAGUUUGGAAACAAGUAAUUCACCACAUAAUUUUUUGGAAUGAGGAAAAAGAUAGCAACCCUAACACCAGGAUCAUUUCUUAAUACUAUAAAGUAAGUCUGAGAAUUUCUUCCCAAGCAGAAGACAAAACUAAUUUUAAAAGAUUUUUUUUAAACGUUUUUGAGGUUGCACUGAAGAAAAGAACCUUUGUAAUAAAGGGAACUCGAAGCCAUAGUUUUACCCAUUAAAAGUGAAAUGGAAGAAUUUUAGAGCCCCAGAUUUUACAGUUAAAAUUAGUAUUGUAACAUCAGUUUAAAUCUAUCAAGAGAAAGUCAUGCUAGAUGCAAUGGCACAUUCCUAUAAUCCCAGCAGCUCUGGAGGCUGAGGCAGGAGGAUUGUGAGUUCAAAGCCAGCCUCAGAAAUGGUGAGGUACUUUGCAACUCAGUGAGACCCUGUCUCUAAAUAAAAUACAAAAUAGGACUGGGGAUGUGGCUCAGUGGUCAAGUGCCCCUGAGUUCAAUCCCUGGUACCAGGAAAAUAAAUAAAUAAAAGAAAGUCAUGCAUUUAUAUACCAUUCUCCCACUUUCAGUAUUUUGUACAUAUAUACUUUAAUUCCAGCAAUAUAUAUUUAGCUUCAUUAAAAAUGAGGAAAUAUAAAUGUUAGGAAGUUGAGUCAUUAAUGCACAGUAUAAACUAUAAAACUGAAUCCUGACAGUAAAUUAAAGCUCGUGAUUUUCACUUUGACCACGAUGCCUCCCUCCCUUUCAUCCCUGGUUUUUGUUUUGGGCAAAUAUACCACUUAGCCAGUUACAUAACACUCUUAUAAUCUUUUAAAAUAUUUUUAAAAAAAGGUCCUACCUCCUCAUAUGCAUCUAUGUCGAUAUACACAUCAGUGUCAGGAAGCUGUCCCAGGACUUUGUAGCUUGGACUGGAGAUGGAGAGCAUGUUAAAGUCUACUGUUGUGCCGAGGGGCAGUGUGUACUUAGACAUGACAGCCUGAUUUGCUAGUGCAUUCAGGAAUACAUGAUCCAUACACAGUGCCUUGUGAAAGGGCUCCUUACGUAUCACAUUCCUAGUGACAUCACAUUGAAGUGAUAUUGCAGGUAUACAGGGGGAAGUCAAGGUCCCCUGGUGGGGGGAGAACUGGGCAUCAAAGGAUGAGGAGUUCAAGAGGCAGAGGAGGAAUGGGACUUCUGAUCACCUGGGGUACCCUGACACCCCAUUACUGUAAGUCUAAAUCCUACUGCUUCUAACAAAGGCCAAGUCCUGACUACAUCCCUACUGAAACCAGGAGCAAAGAAGUCUCUUUCCAUAAACUCCUCUGGGAUUUCAUUUGGGCAUCUCUUAUGUUUAUUGUCACACCAUACAUUGCUUAUAUCUACUGAAGCACAUAAAACUGUACAUUCUAAUUUUCAGAAGAAAGAUUACAAAAUGGUGAUUAAGAGUCAGCUUCUGGACUCACAAAAAUACAUAUUGAAGUCAUGAUCCCACCACAUACUGUGAUCUUGAACUAAGAGAAAAAAUAUACUCUCUCUGCUCCUCUUUCAUCCACUUCAAAAUCCCUCACAGAAACAGCAAACCAAAAACCAUCAGCCCGACGCCUAGGGAACACACGUUGAGGUUUUUAACAUUCUGCAACACAGCAACUGUACUCUGUAACACAGUGAACACUGGAGUUUACACCAAGAAACGGCCCCUGUAUUUAGUGACUCAACACAUACAAGUUACCUAAAAGAGGCGAUAUACAGAGACAGAGGUAGAGGAGUCACCUGAGGCUGGGUGGAGGGGGAGGGAGGUGUUGUCUAAUGGAUGUGGAGUUUCUGUUUGGGAUGAUGAGAAGGUUCUGGAAAUGGGUAUUGGUCAUGACUGCACAAUACUGUAAAAAAUGCACUGAUGUCACUGAACUGCAUACUUUAAAAAAUAAAGUGGUAAAUUUUAUUAUAUAUAUUUUACCAUUAAAAAAAAGUCUCAGAUGAGCUCAGAAAGAAAGGGGAAAGGGAGGGAAGAAAGGACAGCCAGGGUUAUAGCUUAGUGGCAGGGCAUAUGCUGAGCAUUCUUUAGUUCGAUUCCCAGCACUAAAAAAAAAAAAAAAAAGUUAAAGAAAAAAUAGUUCCUGAUUAGCUAUCCUAUUGUUGGACAUUUCUAGUUAAAAGUUCUCAGAGCUGGAGUGUAGCUUAGUAGUAGAGAAUGUGCUUAGCAAGUACAAGACCCUGGGUUUGAUCCCCAGCAUCACAGGAAAAAAAAAAAAAUUCCUCUGGCUAUAAUUUCUUUGUAGCAUCCACUAAUUAGCUGGCAUUUUGACCUAGUCAUACUACUUCAUAAUUGUAAUUCUUAUUCAAGUUUCUUAUAGUGUUUUGUAAUAUGCUGUUAUCUCAAUGUAUUAUUAUAAAUUUAGAAAAAUAACCCUGAGGCUGAGCUGUGAGCAUUAGGAAAGAAUUAAAGGUUGAUAUCAGCAAAAUACUCUGAAGGUAAACACACAGAAAAGCUUUUAGUUUAAAGAGGGAGAAACUAUUGUUAGCAGAUGAAAGAGAAGUUAGGUGGACUAUGAGACAGGGCAUGAAGUUUGGAAAGGAGCCCAAGAGAGUUAGAGAAGAAAGCCACUGGUUUAUAUCCCACAGCUACAGUCUGAGUACUCCAAAUAUAGGUCAGUUCUCAACUAAAUCCAACAAAAAUGACCCCCUCCAGGCCCAGGGCAUGCACCCUUUCCCAUCAAUGCCUAGAACAAACUCAGGUAUGCUUGGAUUUUGUAUUUUCUUUUUUCACAAGCCAUUUUGAAAAGUCUCAGAGUAAGAAGUAUGUUACUAGCUAUUACCAGAAAAACAGUUUAACUAUUUAGGGUAUAUUCUUAUAGUUCCAUUCUAAUCAGUCAAGGACUCAAAUUUAAACCUCAGAGUGACUUUCCUAUGUCUCCCUAUUCAACUUUUAGAACAAUAUGCACCUUUUCUUUGUAGUACUUGACAUAAUUUGUAAUUACUUACUUAUUUGCGAAAUUCACAAUUUACCAAUUAUCUUCCCCUUAGACUGUAAGUUCCAAAGGACAAGGGCUGUAUCUGCUUGGUUCACUGUUUUAUUUUUUUUUGGGGGGGGGUACCAGAUAUUGAACUCAGGGGCACUUGACCACUGAGCUACAUCCCCAGCCCUAUUUUGUAUUUUAUUUGGGACAGGGUCUCAUGGAGUUGCUUAGCACUUUGCCGCUGCUGAGGCUGGCUUUGAACUUUGGAUUCUCCUGCUUCAGUUUCCUGAGAUACUAGGAUUAUAGGUAUGCACCACCGCACCCAGCUUGGCUGUUUUAUCUCAGUGCCUGGCAGAGAAACCUACAAAGGCUGUAGCAGCAUCUCUUAAGGUUUAAUAUCUAGGACUUCUACUGUCAAUUGGUUCUAAUAAUUUCCUAGUUUCCUCUUUAUCCAUGGGUCAUUUAGAAAUGUCAUUAUUGGCAUUCAAAUACAUCGGGCUUUAAAAACUAUAUUUAGUCAUUGAUUUCUAGUUAUAUUUUACUCUGUGAAAAAAUGUUGAAGUUUCAGAAUUUGUAAUCAGUUUUGUAUAAUCAGUUUCAACAUGGACAGUUAUUACCAUUGCUCCCCAUGUAAUUGCAAAUGAUUUCUCUGAAUUGUAUAGAGUCUAUGCAUAUUUUAUCAUAUUAAACUGGUUAACUAUGUUCAUUAAAUCUUUUAUAUCCUUCUUUUUUUUAGCUGCAUGAGUUAGCAAUUUUUGAGAGAGAGGUUUUCCCAU